GCGUGGGGAGCAAACAGGAUUAGAUACCCUGGUAGUCCACGCUGUAAACGAUGUCGAUUUGGAGUUUGGGGGCAUGACCCUUGGGCUCCGGAGCUAACGCGUUAAAUCGACCGCCUGGGGAGUACGGCCGCAAGGUUAAAACUCAAAUGAAUUGACGGGGGCCCGCACAAGCGGUGGAGCAUGUGGUUUAAUUCGAUGCAACGCGAAGAACCUUACCUGGUCUUGACAUCCAUAGGAUCUUGUAGAGAUACGAGAGUGCCUUCGGGAGCUAUGAGACAGGUGCUGCAUGGCUGUCGUCAGCUCGUGUUGUGAAAUGUUGGGUUAGGUCCCGCAACGAGCGCAACCCUUAUCCUUUGUUGCCAGCGGGUAAAGCCGGGAACUCAAAGGAGACUGCCGUUGAUAAAGCGGAGGAAGGUGGGGACGACGUCAAGUCAUCAUGGCCCUUACGACCAGGGCUACACACGUGCUACAAUGGCGUAUACAAAGGGAAGCGAAGGUGCGAACUGGAGCGGACCUCCUAAAGUACGUCUAAGUCCGGAUUGGAGUCUGCAACUCGACUCCAUGAAGUCGGAAUCGCUAGUAAUCGUGAAUCAGAAUGUCACGGUGAAUACGUUCCCGGGCCUUGUACACACCGCCCGUCACACCAUGGGAGUGGGUUGCACCAGAAGUAGAUAGCUUAACCGCAAGGGGGGCGUUUACCACGGUGUGAUUCAUGACUGGGGUGAAGUCGUAACAAGGUAACCA
rnacentral:rRNA from 1 species